AGAGCGCAGGGUGGAUGCCUUGGCACUAAGAGCCGAAGAAAGACGUGAUAAGCUGCGAAAAGCUGCGGGGAGAUGCAAAUAAUCCUUGAUCCGCAGAUGUCUGAAUGGGGAAACCCGGUACGAAGAACUCGUAUCAUCCAUACGCCAAUCCAUAACGUAUGGAGGGGAACCCGGUGAACUGAAACAUCUAAGUAGCCGGAGGAAGAGAAAGAAACAUCGAUUUUGUUAGUAGCGGCGAGCGAAAGCGAAAGAGGCCAAACCGGAGUGCGUGCACUCCGGGGUUCGGACCGCAUUUAAGAUUCAGUGAUUCUAGCAGAAAGGUUUGGGAAAGCCUGCCGGAGAGGGUGAAAGCCCCGUAAGCGAAAGGAGAACUGACUGAGCGGGAUCCAGAGUACAUCGAGACACGAGAAACCUUGAUGGAAAGAGCGGGGACCACCCCGUAAGCCUAAAUACUACUUAGUGACCGAUAGCGCAUAGUACUGUGAAGGAAAGGUGAAAAGGACCCCGGGAGGGGAGUGAAAGAGAACCUGAAACCCUGUGUUUACAAGCUGUGGAAGUUCUUUAAAUGAACAACCGCGUACUUUUUGUAGAACGGUCCGGCGAGUUGCGGAUACUGGCAAGGUUAAGCACUUAAGGUGCGGAGCCGAAGGGAUACCAAGUCUUAACAGGGCGUUAAGUCAGUAUACGCAGACCCGAAACCGGGUGAUCUAUCCAUGUCCAGGUUGAAGUUGUCGUAAAAGACAAUGGAGGACCGAAGCCACAUCCGUUGAAAAGGGUGGGCAUGAGGUGUGGAUAGGGGAGAAAUUCCAAUCGAACCCGGAGAUAGCUGGUUCUCCUCGAAAUAGCUUUAGGGCUAGCCUCGAUUUAGUCUUAUGGAGGUAGAGCACUGAAUUUCCGCGGGGGCGUCAAAGCUUACCAAAGAAUAUCAAACUCCGAAUGCCAUGUAGAUGAUGAUCGGGAGUCAGACUGCACGAGAUAAGUUGGGCAGUCAAAAGGGAAAGAGCCCAGACCACCGGCUAAGGUCCCAAAGUGCGUGUUAAGUGGAAAAGGAUGUGGGAAUUCGAAGACAACUAGGAUGUUGGCUCAGAAGCAGCCAUACAUUCAAAGAGUGCGUAACAGCUCACUAGUCGAGAGUUCCUGCGCCGAAAAUGUCCGGGGCUGAAACACGACACCGAAGCCGUGGACUCGCAAUGCGAGUGGUAGAGGAGCAUUCUUAAAACCGACGAAGCUGUACCGGAAGGAGCAGUGGAGGGAUAAGAAGAGAGAAUGCCGGAAUGAGUAGCGAGAGAAAGGUGGGAAUCCUUUCGGCCGAAUAUCUAAGGUUUCCAGAGUAAAGCUGAUCUGCUCUGGGUAAGUCGGGGCCUAAGCACAGGUCGCAAGACGUAAGCGAUGGAUAACAGGUUUAGAUUCCUGUACCACGCAUUAUCAGAACUGUAGGGACGCAUGUGGAAAGCACGNAAGCGUGUGAGCCAUGUGCCGAGAAAAGCUGCUAUUGUGUAAUGCGUGCCCGUACCGUAAACCGACACAGGUGGAUGAGGAGAGAAUCCUAAGGCCGACGGAAGAAGCAUUGUUAAGGAAUUCGGCAAAAUGACCCCGUAACUUCGGGAGAAGGGGUGCCUGCGAGAGCAGGCCGCAGAGAAUAGGCUCAAGCAACUGUUUAGCAAAAACACAGGUCUAUGCGAAACCGAAAGGUGAAGUAUAUGGGCUGACGCCUGCCCGGUGCUGGAAGGUUAAGAGGAGAGGUUAGCGAAAGCGAAGCUUUGAAUUUAAGCCCCAGUAAACGGCGGCCGUAACUAUAACGGUCCUAAGGUAGCGAAAUUCCUUGUCGGGUAAGUUCCGACCCGCACGAAAGGCGUAAUGAUUUGAGCACUGUCUCGACAAUGCAUCCGGUGAAAUUGAAGUACCAGUGAAGAUGCUGGUUACCCGCGCCAGGACGGAAAGACCCCAUGGAGCUUUACUCCAGUUUGAUACUGGGAUUCGGUACUGCAUGUACAGGAUAGGUGGGAGACGAAGAAGGAUGGACGCCAGUCUGUCCGGAGUCGCUGUUGGGAUACCACCCCUGUAGUACUGGGUUUCUAACCAGUUGCCAUGAACUGGCAAUGGGACAAUGUCAGGCGGGGAGUUUGACUGGGGCGGUCGCCUCCGAAAGGGUAUCGGAGGCGCUCAAAGGUUCCCUCAGAAUGGUUGGAAACCAUUUGAAGAGUGCAAAGGCAGAAGGGAGCUUGACUGCGACACCGACGGGUGGAGCAGGUACGAAAGUAGGACUUAGUGAUCCGGUGGUAUAAAGUGGGAUUGCCAUCGCUCAACGGAUAAAAGCUACCCUGGGGAUAACAGGCUUAUCACUCCCAAGAGUUCACAUCGACGGAGUGGUUUGGCACCUCGAUGUCGGCUCAUCGCAUCCUGGGGCUGUAGCAGGUCCCAAGGGUUGGGCUGUUCGCCCAUUAAAGCGGUACGCGAGCUGGGUUCAGAACGUCGUGAGACAGUUCGGUCCCUAUCCGGCGCGGGCGGAGGAUAUUUGAGAGGAGCUGUCCUUAGUACGAGAGGACCGGGAUGGACGGACCACUGGUGUAUCUGUUGUCGACCAACGGCAUGGCAGAGUAGCCAAGUCUGGAAGGGAUAAACGCUGAAGGCAUCUAAGCGUGAAGCCCCCCUCAAGAUGAGAUAUCCCUCCUUCGGGAGUAAGACCCCUUGAAGACUACAAGGUAGAUAGGGCAGAGGUGGAAGCAUGGCAACAUGUGGAGCUGACUGUUACUAAUAGGUCGAGGGCUUAAUCU
rnacentral:rRNA from 1 species